rnacentral:rRNA from 1 species
GUCUCAGUUCGGAUUGCAGGCUGCGACUCGCCUGCAUGAAGUCGGAAUUGCUAGUAAUCGCGGAUCAGCAUGCCGCGGUGAAUACGUUCCCGGGCCUUGUACACACCGCCCGUCACACCAUGAGAGCCGGUAACACCCGAAGUCAGUAGUCUAAAACCGCAAGGGGACGCUGCCGAAGGUGGGGCUGGUGAUUGGGGUGAAGUCGUAACAAGGUAAC